rnacentral:tRNA from 1 species
GCAUUGGUUGUUCAGUGGUAGAAUUCUCGCCUGCCACGCGGGAGGCCCGGGUUCGAUUCCUGGCCAAUGCA